AUGUAUACCGAAACGUGCACUGAAUACACAUGCAACGUUACGAAUUACAAAGUUGUGGUUUGUAUUUUACAUUGAAGGAAAACAGGCUUGAGUGCAGACAUUGCGGAUUAGUAUUCCGCCCGUGUGGCUACUAAAGAAGUUACUACGAGUCUUGUUUUACGGACCGUUUUCAGUGUGGCGUACUCACCGUGCCCUGAGCGUUCGUCGGUCCGUGACCUACGCGCCUCCCCCGGGCGGGACACCGGUACACUGACACGAACAAAACCAGCUGCCCUCAACGCGAUUGCGACAGUCCCUUCCACUUACGGCUAUGUGAGGGAAGAUGGGACUUGACUGAAAAUACCGAUCCAAGCUUUUGGCGGAAUGCUUAACUGUUUUGUGACGAUAAUCAGCUACUACUUGUUGUUCUACAUCACCUAGUGCUUAUACCAAAAGUACCUUCAUAAGAAGCCUAUACGAGCAAUCUGUACUCCCCGGAGAGCUCUAGCGAUGUAAUCGGCGUCAGUACUACGUCCCGGGGGUUUGUAGUUAUCAGACAUGCUACCAGGAACAGAAGUUAUACCAAGAACAAGCACACAUUCUAAAGGAUACCACCGUCGGGUAUAACAG